ACCAAAGGGCAUAAAUUUGGUAUAUAACUUGGAACAAUGCAGGAACGAUUAGCAUGGCUCUGCACAAGGGUGACUCGCAAAUUAGUGAAGAGUCCAUAUUGUUU